GUACGCUGGCGGCACGCCUAACACAUGCAAGUCGAACGAAGUAGCAAUACUUAGUGGCAGACGGGUGAGUAACAUGUAGGUAUCUGCCCUUUGGCCUGGAAUAACACGAGGAAACUUGUGCUAAUACCGGAUAAGUCUUUACGGAGAAAGCUUUAUGCACCAUUGGAGGAGCCUGCACUAGAUUAGUUUGUUGGUGGGGUAAUGGCCUACCAAGACUGUGAUCUAUAGCUGAUUUGAGAGGAUGAUCAGCCACAUUGGGACUGAGACACGGCCCAAACUCCUACGGGAGGCAGCAGUGGGGAAUCUUGCACAAUGGAGGAAACUCUGAUGCAGCGAUGCCGCGUGAGUGAAGAAGGCCUUUGGGUUGUAAAGCUCUUUCGUCGGGGAAGAAAAUGACUGUACCCGAAUAAGAA
rnacentral:rRNA from 1 species